rnacentral:rRNA from 1 species
UGCUUAACACAUGCAAGUCGAACGGCAGCAUGAUCUAGCUUGCUAGAUUGAUGGCGAGUGGCGAACGGGUGAGUAAUGCGUAGGAAUAUGCCCUGGAGCGGGGGAUAACCUGGGGAAACUCAGGCUAAUACCGCGUAAUCUCUUAGGAGCAAAGCUGGGGACCGUAAGGCCUGGCGCUUCAGGAGUAGCCUACGUCCGAUUAGCUAGUUGGUGGGGUAAGGGCCUACCAAGGCGACGAUCGGUAGCUGGUCUGAGAGGAUGAUCAGCCACACUGGGACUGAGACACGGCCCAGACUCCUACGGGAGGCAGCAGUGGGGAAUAUUGGACAAUGGGGGCAACCCUGAUCCAGCAAUGCCGCGUGUGUGAAGAAGGCCUGAGGGUUGUAAAGCACUUUCAGUGGGGAGGAGGGUUAAUAGGUUAAGAGCUAAUUGACUGGACGUUACCCACAGAAGAAGCACCGGCUAACUCCGUGCCAGCAGCCGCGGUAAUACGGAGGGUGCGAGCGUUAAUCGGAAUUACUGGG